GUUGUGGUGGCGCAGCCAUGGAGACAAGGCUUAGCCUUCGAAGUUCGAUUUUGUACGUGGACCGUGCUAUCUGCACACAAUUAUAUUAAAUUAACUAUUAAUGACAUAUUAAAAUCUGAAAUAGUACAUUAUUUGCACCUUUACUUAUAUUUUAAUUCAAUUCUCGAUUUACAAAAAAACAAGCUCAAUAGCUUAUGUGAACCUAUAUUUCUUGGAUUAUUCAAGAUUUCAAAAACAGCUUGUAUGUUAGUUCGUUCAUAAUUUAUAGUGACGUCGCAAAAAAUAUUCUUCUGAAAUCAAAUUGUUAAUUCUCAUUAACUAGUGAUAUAAAUUAAGUUUUGCGCUUACACAAAAGAAGUUAGUUUUGUGAUAAUUCACGUGAAUUCACUCUUAGCAACGAUUUGUAUUCGUCCGUUCUUUAUGUGAAAGAAUAAAAAUACUCAGUUUUGUUCAAACCAGUAAUUUUUAGACCAGUGUCUGACGAGUUAUUUUAGCAGAUGUAUGAUCAAAAAGAAAAUUUCAAUUCUUUAUGUCCGUCUAUCUACGAAGUACUUAAUUUAUUUAUAUUAGACUUGGAACGUGAACAACUAUUUGUCUAGUAACGCAGUAUUUGUGAGUGAUUUUAAGAAAUUAAUAAAAAAAUUAACUAGUAGAAAAGAUGAAUGAAGCAAGUAGAGUUUUACAUAUCUAUCAUUCAGAAAUACAAUGAACUAUCUUCAGAAUUAGCUUUCUAUGAUAAACAAAAUUAUAAAAAGAAUAAAUUACAAAAAAAAAAAAGAAACACAAACGGAUAGAAGAUCAAUCAUCAUAAGGAAAGAAACAACAUAUAAAAAUGAUAAAAGAAAUUUUCUGGAUUGUGAUAGUAUUGAUUUUAAUUCUCAAUGUGUCCAGAGGACGAUUAGAGUUUUAUGGAAAUAGAGAAGGGUUACGUGGUGAAAGUAGUAUUAAAAUUGGCACAAAUGAUAGAGGCAGCUUGUCAAGAAGUAUUGGAAUCGGUUCACGAAGAGGUGGUUUCAACAGGGGUGCAGGAGUAAGAAUUGGUGAAACCAGAGGGGUGAAUAUUACUAGACAAAAACCAUCAGCAUUUACUACAACAACAUCAACAUUAUCAUCGGUGAAUUACCAUUUCUCACACAAACCCUAUUUGUCAGCGGCUGGUGGCAAUCAAACAACAUAUCUAAAGGUGGGAAUGGUGGUACCUUAUAAGUCGUUUGGUGUACGUGAGUACACCAAAGCUGUAACAACAGCGAUUAAUGGACUCCAAAGAAGUACCAGAGGGCCAAGACUAGAGCUAUUUCAACAUUAUGAUAUUCAUGUACUUAUAACUAUGAAAGAGCUGACGCCAAGUCCUACCGCUAUACUCAAUUCUUUAUGUAAAGAGUUUUUGUCAGUGAAUGUCUCAGCAAUACUCUAUCUCAUGAACUACGAGCAGUAUGGACGUAGUACAGCAAGUGCUCAAUACUUCUUACAGUUAGCUGGAUAUCUUGGUAUUCCAGUUAUUGCAUGGAACGCCGACAACUCCGGUCUAGAAAGGAGAGCGUCACAAAGUAGCCUGCAGUUACAGUUAGCACCAUCAUUAGAACAUCAGACAGCAGCAAUGUUGAGUAUACUUGAACGGUACAAGUGGCAUCAAUUCAGCAUUGUAACUUCUCAAAUUGCUGGGCAUGAUGAUUUUAUUCAAGCAGUACGUGAAAGAAUAACAGAAAUGCAAGAUACAUUUAAAUUCACCUUACUGAAUUCAGUACUUGUAACAAAAUUUCAAGAUUUAAUGGAACUAGUUAAUAGUGAGUCCAGAGUGAUGCUACUUUAUGCAACGAGAGACGAAGCAACACAUAUUCUUACUGCAGCACGAGAUUUAAAAAUAACUGGUGAAAAUUACGUCUGGGUUGUUACCCAAAGUGUAAUUGAAAACUUACAGACACCAGUUGGUAAUCAUUUUCCUGUUGGGAUGUUGGGAGUUCAUUUUGAUACAAGCAGUUCAAGCUUAGUCAACGAAAUUGCAACGGCAAUAAAAGUUUAUGCCUAUGGGGUGGAGGACUUUGUGAAUGAUCCUCGUAAUGUCAACCUUAGUUUGAAUACAGCACUGAGUUGUGAAGGACUUGGAGAGUCACGAUGGAACACUGGAGACCGAUUUUUUAAAUAUCUUAAAAAUGUCUCCGUUGAAGGAGACCAAGGCAAACCACAUAUUCAAUUUACUCCAGACGGAGUGUUAAAAGCCGCUGAAUUGAAAAUCAUGAAUCUUCGUCCAGGAUUCAGCAGACAACUCGUUUGGGAAGAGAUCGGAGUUUGGAAGUCAUGGCGAAAAGAAGGUCUAGACAUAAAGGAUAUUGUUUGGCCUGGUAAUUCCCAUACACCACCACAAGGUGUGCCAGAAAAAUUUUAUUUGAAAAUAACAUUUUUAGAAGAACCACCAUAUAUUAAUUUAACACCACCAGAUCCUAUCAGUGGCAAGUGCUUGAUGGAUCGCGGGGUUCAUUGUAGGAUUGCCAAAGAAUCUGAUAUGGCAGAAAUAGAUGUACAAUCUGCUCAAAGAAAUGGAAGUUUCUAUCAAUGCUGUAGUGGAUUUUGCAUUGAUUUAUUGCAAAAAUUUUCCGAGGAAAUAGGAUUCACCUACGAAUUGGUUAGAGUUGAAGAUGGAAAAUGGGGUACCGUAGAUAAUGGAAAAUGGAAUGGAUUGAUCGCUGACCUUGUAAACCGCAAAACGGAUAUGGUAUUAACCUCCUUAAUGAUCAAUUCGGAGAGGGAAGCCGUAGUCGAUUUUACAGAACCUUAUAUGGAGACUGGAAUCGCGAUUGUUGUUGCAAAAAGGACUGGAAUUAUUUCACCAACAGCUUUUCUUGAACCUUUUGAUACUGCCUCAUGGAUGCUUGUUGGUAUUGUUGCAAUUCAUGCAGCUACGUUUAUGAUUUUUUUAUUUGAGUGGCUAUCUCCAUCUGGCUUCAAUAUGAAGAUGGAUCUAUCCGAAAAUCACCGAUUUUCUUUGUCAAGGACAUACUGGCUUGUUUGGGCAGUUCUUUUCCAGGCAGCCGUACACAUCGACUCACCUCGUGCAUUCACCGCAAGAUUCAUGACAAACAUUUGGGCAAUGUUCGCUGUCGUAUUUCUCGCUAUUUAUACUGCCAACUUGGCUGCUUUCAUGAUAACACGAGAAGAAUAUCAUGAAUUUACUGGACUAGAUGAUUCACGUUUAUCGAAACCUUGGACACAUAAGCCAAUGUUUAAAUUUGGUACAAUACCAUGGAGUCAUACAGAUAGCACACUAUCCAAAUAUUUCAAGCCGAUGCAUGCUUACAUGAGCACUUACAAUAAAUCCACUGUUGUUGACGGUAUUGAAGCAGUCAGGAGUGGAGAAAUCGAUGCAUUUUUCUAUGAUGGGACAGUGUUGGAUUAUUUGGUCGCUCAAGACGAAGAGUGUCGUUUAUUGACAGUCGGUUCAUGGUAUGCAAUGACUGGUUAUGGUCUUGCGUUUGCUAGAAAAUCAAAAUACGUAGAAAUGUUUAAUAAAAGAUUACUUGAUUAUCGAGAAAAUGGUGACCUUGAGCGUUUACGGAGAUACUGGAUGACGGGUACAUGUAAACCUGGUAAAGAAGUUCAGAAAAGUAGCGAUCCACUGGCCCUAGAACAAUUUUUGAGUGCAUUCUUACUGUUGAUGGCUGGAAUAUUGCUUGCUGCUGCUCUUCUUCUACUGGAACAUCUUUAUUUUAAGUAUAUUCGACAUCAUAUCACAAAAAGUAAUGGAGGAGGAUGUUGUGCUUUGAUAAGUUAUAGCAUGGGUCAAUCACUAACUUUUCGGGGUGCUGGUUACAAAACAGAAGAUGCUAUUAGUCAAGAAACUUGUGAUUCAGUAUGUGAUACACAUCUAUGGAAAGUCAAGCAAGAACUAUAUAUGGCACAAAUUAGAAUAAGACAGCUGGAAAAAGAUUUUGAAGCCCAUGGAUUACAACCAAGCCAAUCAAGGUUGUAGGAAAAGACAUGCUACGUUACGAUGAUGGUGAGAAAGGUAGCCAAAUGUUAUCUCGUGUUAUAACUGUUGAUGAAAAAGUUGGUCAACUCUUCAGAAAAAAAGGGUACCUUUUGGAACAAACAGAUGAGCCAGAAAGUACUAUGCUUGUUACUGCUGAUGCAAAAUUUGUAAAAAAACUUUUAAAAACCAAAGAGCUCGCAGCAGACAUUUAUACUGACGGAACAUUUCCGUCCAGUAUCAGUAUGAAUGAACUCGAAUUAUGUCAAACUUAUAUAAUUCAAAUUGGAGCAUACAAUCAGCCAUUUUGAACUUGGCAAAACUAGACGAAACUAGCCAAAAAAUGAAAAUGAGAACAUACGGACAUGGAGGCUAAUAUGGACGAUAAGUCACGUCCCUCACCGCGGGGGCCACGGCACUGAAUUCGGGUGCGUCCCGUACGAGGAUGCGGACGAGAAUAACAAGAAGGACU
rnacentral:misc_RNA from 1 species